rnacentral:rRNA from 1 species
UCAGGAUGAACGCUGGCGGUAUGCUUAACACAUGCAAGUCGAACGGUGUCUUCGGACACAGUGGCGGACGGGUGAGUAACGCGUGAGAAUCUGGCUUUAGGUCUGGGACAACCACUGGAAACGGUGGCUAAUACCGGAUGUGCCCGUAAUUGGGUGAAAGGUUAACUGCCUGAAGAUGAGCUCGCGUCUGAUUAGCUAGUUGGAAGUGUAAUGGACUCCCAAGGCGACGAUCAGUAGCUGGUCUGAGAGGACGAUCAGCCACACUGGGACUGAGACACGGCCCAGACUCCUACGGGAGGCAGCAGUGGGGAAUUUUCCGCAAUGGGCGAAAGCCUGACGGAGCAAUACCGCGUGAGGGAGGAAGGCUCUUGGGUCGUAAACCUCUUUUCUCAGGGAAGAACACAAUGACGGUACCUGAGGAAUAAGCAUCGGCUAACUCCGUGCCAGCAGCCGCGGUAAUACGGAGGAUGCAAGCGUUAUCCGGAAUGAUUGGGCGUAAAGCGUCCGCAGGUGGCAAUGUAAGUCUGCUGUUAAAGAGUCUAGCUCAACUAGAUAAGAGCAGUGGAAACUACAUAGCUAGAGUACGUUCGGGGCAGAGGGAAUUCCUGGUGUAGCGGUGAAAUGCGUAGAGAUCAGGAAGAACACCAGUGGCGAAGGCGCUCUGCUAGGCCGUAACUGACACUGAGGGACGAAAGCUAGGGGAGCGAAUGGGAUUAGAUACCCCAGUAGUCCUAGCCGUAAACGAUGGAUACUAGGCGUGGCUUGUAUCGACCCGAGCCGUGCCGUAGCUAACGCGUUAAGUAUCCCGCCUGGGGAGUACGCCGGCAACGGUGAAACUCAAAGGAAUUGACGGGGGCCCGCACAAGCGGUGGAGUAUGUGGUUUAAUUCGAUGCAACGCGAAGAACCUUACCAAGGCUUGACAUGUCGCGAAUCUUCUCGAAAGGGAAGAGUGCCUUCGGGAGCGCGAACACAGGUGGUGCAUGGCUGUCGUCAGCUCGUGUCGUGAGAUGUUGGGUUAAGUCCCGCAACGAGCGCAACCCUCGUUUUUAGUUGCCAGCAUUAAGUUGGGCACUCUAGAGAGACUGCCGGUGACAAACCGGAGGAAGGUGGGGAUGACGUCAAGUCAGCAUGCCCCUUACGCCUUGGGCUACACACGUACUACAAUGCUCCGGACAGAGGGCAGCAAGCAUGCGAAUGCAAGCAAAUCCCGUAAACCGGAGCUCAGUUCAGAUCGCAGGCUGCAACUCGCCUGCGUGAAGGAGGAAUCGCUAGUAAUUGCAGGUCAGCAUACUGCAGUGAAUUCGUUCCCGGGCCUUGUACACACCGCCCGUCACACCAUGGAAGCUGGUAGUGCCCGAAGUCAUUACUCCAACCUUUCGGGGAGGAGGAUGCCUAAGGCAGGACUGGUGACUGGGGUGAAGUCGUAACAAGGUAGCCGUACCGGAAGG